AGAACGAACGCUGGCGGCAUGCCUAAUACAUGCAAGUCGAACGAACUCUUCGGAGUUAGUGGCGCACGGGUGCGUAACGCGUGGGAAUCUGCCCCUUGGUUCGGAAUAACAGUUGGAAACGACUGCUAAUACCGGAUGAUGACGAAAGUCCAAAGAUUUAUCGCCAAGGGAUGAGCCCGCGUAGGAUUAGCUAGUUGGUGAGGUAAAGCUCACCAAGGCAACGAUCCUUAGCUGGUCUGGAGAGGAUGAUCAGCCACA
rnacentral:rRNA from 1 species